UACAGAGGGUGCAAGCGUUAAUCGGAAUUACUGGGCGUAAAGCGUGCGUAGGUGGUUUAUUAAGUCAGGUGUGAAAUCCUCGGGCUCAACCUGGGAACUGCGCUUGAUACUGAUAGACUAGAGUGUGGUAGAGGAUAGUGGAAUUCCCGGUGUAGCGGUGAAAUGCGUAGAUAUCGGGAGGAACAUCAGUGGCGAAGGCGGCUAUCUGGACUAACACUGACACUGAGGCACGAAAGCGUGGGUAGCAAACAGG
rnacentral:rRNA from 1 species